GUACAUGUUCCUGGUGAAAUGGCAGGACCUGUCAGAGAAGGUGGUCUACCGGCGCUUCACCGAGAUCUAUGAGUUCCAUGACAAAAAAGCCAGAGACAUACUUGAUGCCCAAAGAUAGCAAGAGUACCGCGACAGACAUCACUGGCCCCAUCAUCCUGCAGACGUACCGUGCCAUUGCCGACUAUGAGAAGACCUCGGGCUCCGAGAUGGCUCUGUCCGCGGGUGACGUGGUGGAGGUCGUGGAGAAGAGCGAGAGCGGUCAGACCUCCCACCCUACAGGGCUCCUUCCCCUGGUGCUCAGGAACCCACAGCCACAAGCCCCCUGCCAAGGCUUAGGCAGCCUGGCCCCUGGGAGGACUCCGGCUCCGUUAGGGGCCCUGAAUGUCUUCCCCACACUGCGGGUCACCCUCUCUCUGAGUGUGCACCCUGUGGUGGCUGUGGGCAUCUGUGCAUGGCAGGCCGGGGCGGGGCAUGUCUGCGUGUUCUGUCUGGAUGGGUAUGGGACCAUCUGCUCAUUAUGAAGUGGGCUCAGAGCUGUGAUUCUGUGAGCAUAUGUGCAUGCAUGCAUGUGACCUCAUUGUCCAGUGUGGUGAAGGUGACAUUUCCAAAUCUGAGCAUUGGACAUCAGUGUGUCUGUGUCCCUGUGUCCUCACCAUCCCUGAUGGCUGCAGGGAGCCGCUGGGCCCUGCCCCUCAGUCACAUUCCCACACCUCUGGCACAGGUUGGUGGUUCUGUCAGAUGAAAGCAAAGCGAGGCUGGAUCCCAGCGUCCUUCCUCGAGCCCCUGGAAAGUCCCGACGAGACGGAAGACCCUGAGCCCAACUAUGCAGGUGAGCCGUACGUCGCCAUCAAGGCCUACAAUGCGGUGGAGGGGGACGAGGUGUCCCUGCUCGAGGGUGAAGCUGUUGAGGAAAGACGAUGUCACAGGCUACUUCCCGUCCAUGUACCUGCAAAAGUCGGGGCAAGACGUGUCCCAGGCCCAACGCCAGAUCAAGCGGGGGGCGCCGCCCCGCAGGUCGUCCAUCCGCAACGCGCACAGCAUCCACCAGCGGUCGCGGAAGCGCCUCAGCCAGGACGCCUAUCGCCGCAACAGCGUCCGUUUUCUGCAGGAGCGACGCCGCCAGGCACGGCCGGGACCGCAGAGCCCCGGGAGCCUGCUCGAGGAGGAGCGGCAGACGCAGCGCUCUAAACCGCAGCCAGCGGUGCCCCCGCGGCCGAGCGCCGACCUCAUCCUGAACCGCUGCAGCGAGAGCACCAAGCGGAAGCUGGCGUCUGCCGUCUGAGGCUGGAGCGCAGUCCCCAGCUAGCGUCUCGGCCCUUCCCGCCCCGUGCCUGUGUAUACGUGUUCUAUAGAGCCUGGUGUCUGGACGCCGAGGACAGCCCCAGCCCCUGUCCAGCGCGGCUCCCGCCACCCUCAAUAAAUGUUGCUUGGAGUGGA
rnacentral:sRNA from 1 species